CGACGUGUCUUGGGCUCUUCUGGCGCCAAAAUGUCGCUCGUAGCGGGGGUUAUUCGGCGGCUGGACGAAACAGUGGUGAACCGCAUCGCGGCAGGGGAAGUCAUCCAGCGGCCGGCCAACGCCAUCAAGGAGAUGAUUGAGAACUGCUUAGAUGCAAAAGCCACCAGCAUCCAAGUGGUUGUUAAAGAGGGAGGCCUCAAGUUGAUUCAGAUCCAAGACAAUGGCACUGGGAUCCGGAAAGAAGAUCUGGAUAUUGUGUGUGAGAGGUUCACUACAAGUAAACUGCAGUCCUUUGAGGAUUUAGCUAGUAUUUCUACCUAUGGCUUUCGGGGUGAGGCUUUGGCCAGCAUCAGCCACGUGGCUCACGUUACUAUUACAACCAAAACAGCUGAUGCAAAGUGCGCAUACAGAGCAAGUUACUCAGAUGGAAAGCUGACAGCUCCUCCUAAACCAUGUGCGGGCAAUCAAGGGACCCAGAUUACGGUGGAAGAUCUCUUUUACAACAUAUCCACAAGGAGGAAAGCUUUAAAAAAUCCGAGUGAAGAGUAUGGGAAAAUUUUGGAAGUUGUUGGCAGGUAUUCAAUACACAAUUCAGGCAUUGGUUUCUCAGUUAAAAAACAAGGCGAGACAGUGGCUGACGUUAGAACACUGCCCAGUGCCACGACUGUAGACAAUAUUCGCUCCAUCUUUGGAAAUGCUGUUAGCCGAGAACUGAUAGAAGUCGGGUGUGAGGAUAAAACCCUAGCCUUCAAAAUGAAUGGCUUUAUAUCCAAUGCAAAUUACUCCGUGAAGAAGUGUAUCUUCUUACUCUUCAUCAACCAUCGUCUGGUAGAGUCAACUUCCUUAAGAAAAGCCAUUGAAACCGUGUAUGCAGCCUAUUUGCCCAAAAACACACACCCGUUCCUGUACCUCAGUUUGGAGAUCAGCCCCCAGAACGUGGAUGUCAACGUGCACCCCACAAAGCACGAGGUUCACUUCCUACACGAGGACAGCAUCCUGGAGCGGGUGCAACAGCACAUUGAGAGCAAGCUCCUGGGCUCCAACUCGUCCAGGAUGUACUUCACCCAGACUUUACUCCCAGGUCUUGCUGGCCCCUCUGGGGAGGUGGUUAAGUCCACAGUGGGUGUGCCCCCCUCAUCCACUUCUGGAAGCGGCGACAAGGUCUAUGCUCACCAGAUGGUCCGCACAGAUUCGCGGGAACAGAAGCUCGAUGCCUUUAUGCAGCCUGUGAGCAAGGCUCUGUCCGGUCAGCCUCAGGCCGUGGUCCCAGAAGAUGGGCCUGAGGCUUCCAGCGGCAGGGCCAGGCAGCAGGAUGAGGAAAUGCUCGAACUCCUGGAGCCUGCUGCAGUGGCUGCCACAAAUCAGGGCUUGGAGGGGGAUGCAACAGAGGGGACUUCGCAAGCGUCGGAGAAGAGAGGGCCCCCUUCCAGCCCAGGUAACCCCAGAAAGAGGCCCCGGGAAAGCCCUGAUGUGGAAAUGGUGGAAGAGGAUUCCCGGAAGGAGAUGACAGCAGCUUGUACUCCCCGGAGAAGGAUCAUCAACCUCACCAGUGUCCUGAGCCUCCAGGAAGAAAUUAAUGAGCGGGGACAUGAGACUCUCCGAGAGAUGUUGCACAACCACUCCUUCGUGGGCUGCGUGAAUCCUCAGUGGGCCUUGGCACAGCAUCAGACCAAGCUGUACCUUCUCAACACCACCAAACUUAGUGAAGAACUGUUCUACCAGAUACUCAUUUAUGAUUUUGCCAAUUUUGGUGUUCUGAGGCUGUCGGAGCCAGCGCCGCUCUUUGACCUGGCCAUGCUCGCCUUAGACAGUCCCGAGAGUGGCUGGACAGAGGAGGAUGGCCCCAAAGAAGGACUUGCUGAGUACAUUGUUGAGUUUCUAAAGAAGAAGGCUGAGAUGCUUGCGGACUAUUUCUCCUUGGAGAUCGAUGAGGAAGGGAACCUGAUUGGAUUACCCCUGCUGAUCGACAACUACGUGCCCCCUUUGGAGGGCCUGCCUCUCUUCAUUCUUCGACUAGCCACCGAGGUGAACUGGGAUGAAGAAAAGGAAUGUUUUGAAAGCCUCAGCAAAGAGUGUGCUAUGUUUUACUCCAUUCGGAAGCAGUAUGUAUGUGAGGAGUCGACCCUCUCAAGCCAGCAGAGUGACGCGCCCGGCUCCUCAGCAAACCCCUGGAAGUGGACUGUGGAACACAUCGUCUAUAAAGCCUUCCGCUCACACCUUCUGCCUCCUGAACGUUUCACGGAAGAUGGAAAUAUCCUACAGCUUGCCAACCUGCCCGAUCUAUACAAAGUCUUCGAGAGAUGUUAAGCACCGUCACUCUUGGACUCGGGGGUGUGCGGUUCCUGCACGGUGUCCUGAUGAGGGAUGACGUAAAAAUACAAACCCGAGCCGUAUGUGCCACUACCGUCAGAUGCCUUUAAUACUAGCCUGGUUCACAGAAAUGUGCAGUGUGCACGGGAAGAACGCCUACAGUUUUGAGGUAAAAUCCAGAUGACAAGACUCAGUAAAGAACGUUCCAUGGAAAGAACAGGGAACCGUCCCUUAAGAAAAAGUGGAACCAUUCCCUUUGGAAGAGACAAAUCUGUUGUAUCACAAAAGAAGCAGGAUCAGGUUCUACCACGUAGAACUUCCAAAAAGUUGACAGGGCGUCUCAGCAGCGGCCCUCCGGGAGCCCAGCGGGGCGAGGAGGGGUCACCUCACGGUGUGCUGGCUCCAGCUGUGGGCCCCCACCCCUCCUACCCCGGGUCCCACUACUACGGCUGCGAAAGAAAUAUGUAGGAAAUCCCCCCGGACUCACGACACCGGUUCCAUAUUUUAAAAACAAAAGGCUAACUGCUCUGAAGAGGGUAAUUCGCAGAGAUUUUCUUCACAUCCGAGUUAGCUUCAGGAUGUAAUUCCAAGUCUAACUUUGUUAUCUUACGUGCCCUGGACUGACUGAUUAGACUUCUCGCGGUAUUUGUUACGAACAUGCAACCACCAUCUCCACAAACACCUUGAUUCUGAGGGCAGACGAGAAUCACGGAUCCUGCAAAAUGGCCCCAUGAUAAAUGCCUCAAACUGGGUACGUUUAAAGACGCGACUGAAGUUCUUAAAAAGCUGUAUAUUCCAGAUUAUUUUCCGUGAGGAGGAGGAGGAGAAGAGGGGCAGCGUAAGAGGGACGUGGCUGCCCCGAUGUGUUGAAAGGCUCCCGUAACAAAAUGAAUGUGUCAGGAGCCAGCUGUGGUCAGCAAGAGGGUGUGUUUAAUAGGGUCUUGGGCCGACUUCUCCCCCCACCGCACCCCCCCGCCGGGCUCGUCUGAGGUUUCAUUCCACAAAUCAGCAGCAGAUGAGAUACUUUACACGAGAUACAGCACAGGCGAUGUUGACGACAAAGGGCCCUACUCUUACCUUAAGAGCGUCAGGCUUUGGACUUCCCCGGCCACAUGCAAUAAAGCAAGUUUUCUAUACACUCCCCGUAUCCGUAUUUUUUCUAACAUUUUCUUAUAUAAAUUUAAAUAUUUUACAAAAAAAGGCUUCUUCCUCCAAACAUAGAAAUUUGAGUGAAACAUACAUUCCCCACGUGUGAACCUGUUUCUUCACUAAAAUAUAAAUGCUAUCUGAUACGAAGGGUAAGUGUCUUUGACCGCUGGAGAGGACUGAAGUCUGGAUUGCACCGUGGAGAAGGCACUUGUGUUUCCCGAGGUCUCCAGCCAAGUAUCUCACGGGGCGCUCACAGAACCGCCGUCCUCUCGCCGUGACGAGAGCCCCGUCACGGAGGCCGCUGGGGGAAAUGGUGAGUAAACUCGAUUCUACAAUUAUGGAAAUAAAAAGUAAAACCAGCACAGACCAGUUCUUAGUCUAGAAUCAAAUUACAACGAAAUCCAAAGCGUGCGUUCAUGAAGAUUCAAACCUGUUUCAUUCUCUCAUAAAUUAUAAAAUACAAAGGUGGCUAUUUUACUGACAAGACUCAAACAGUACAGAAGGGGGUUUGUGUCAAUGGACAGAAAGUCCCUCUGGGCGGGACCCCGGGCGCGGCUCCCGGGCGGAGGGGCGCCUCCUACUGCUGGGCCAGAAGUGCUGUCCUGUUGGCCUUCAUCUUUUCCAGCCGCUUGGCCAGGUGGCUGUUGGUCAUCUCCACCUCCUCGAUCUUGUCCAGUGCCGUUCGUAACUGCGGACAGGGAGAGCCCGGUCACUUGACACGGUCACACACAAAACCCGGUGCCACUUCAAUGCCCCUGUCUGCGAGACGGGACCCGCUGGCGGCGCACAGAAAGGACAGACAUACAGCAGGUGGAGGAAAAGACCGGUGCUAAAACAAAAGGGAAACCUCUCCUCUUCCUUAGUCUCGAACUGACCGAAACAUACAAGUAAAUAAAUGGCAGUCACCGUGCAGGUCAAAACCCACCACGGAACAGGGAGAGACCCACCGCUGUUCCCUUAGGACUGGACCCAGGAUUCAACUCGUGACGCCGCGAAGGAUCUUUACGUUUUAGGAACGUGAGCGCGCAAAAGCAGGUACCUCUCGCUGUAGCUUCCUCUUCUCCGCCUUCAGUUCAUCUUCCACUUUCUCCGCAUUCUCGGCGGCGGUCUUAUACCUCAGCACCUGGCCCUCGAGUCGGCUGACCUGUCAACAAGAGAACACGGGCCUCUGCUGACGGGCACCGGGAGCCCUUUGCUUGCAGCCACCAUGGAAACGCAGCGUCAUUACAAAUCCCAAGUUGUCCCCUCACGGUGAGUCACAGGGCCUCUCAGAACCCAGCGGCUAUUUAUAGACGAGGAAGUGUCCCCUGAGAGGAUUACAGCCGGACAGUCAACAUAGGGCCAAUUUCUCACGUCAGGUUUACGAUGGACAUAUUAAGUGCCAAAGUAACACUGCAGGAUCAGACACACUAAUGGAAAAGCUUUUAGACUUCUUGAAACGUAGAAUAAGGGAUUUUCAAACUAAGAGACUUCCUGAGGUCCCCUGAAAUAUCUGGAAAAAGCAGAAUUACAGCUACGGUUUUCUACGUUUUCAAUAGCGAACGGAAGGCUGAAGUGCCCUUCGGGGUCUCUCCUGCUGGCUUUCUUCUUUACUGCAGAGCUUCGACAGAGAUCCAACUGCAGAGACACCCAACCCAAAGAAACCUAGGUACUCCUGGAGUCGGCCACUUAGAUGUUGCAAAGGGACUUUAAAUCUCUUGCCACCAUACUGAGAAGAACAGAAGAAGAGAAUGAAUCCUCUCCCGGAGGGAGUGAAGGUGUGACCCAUGAGGCGCUGACACCCGCUGCAGCCCGGGAGAGGACGAUGCGGUCUCCAAGACAGACACGGAUGCCCGCAGGGCAGCCACAGCAUCUCCAGCGCCUUGGGCCCUAGAACGAGUCUCCUGCGAGAAGCUCCGGCACCGAUCCAAGCCUCCCUUGGACCGGGGAGAAGAAAAUGUACCCUUCGCCCCACGAUGUGCGUAGGCUGAACACGGAGCAAGGAGCCCUGUCCGUGCCUCAGUGGCCCUGCUGACCCCCGUCCAGGAGCCUCCAGUUUCCUGUACCUUCCCGCCUCCCGGGUUCCCUCCUGCUGCCACACCUCGGGUGCCCCGCUCUCCCACCGCUGACUGAAGUCCCCAGCAACCUCCGUCAUGACUCUCCUUAGUCAACUGUGACUUCUUCCCUGUCGCUUUGAUUUACACUGUCUUUUCUAACACUAACCAUGCCUCUGAACGCGGGCCCUGGCUCCGCCUCCCUCGGUCUAUCUGCGUCUUGCCGAGGGCUCUGUGCGUGUGCUUAAUAAACAUUUGCUGAAAGAAAUGCUUUUCAAUAACAUGUGG